GCAGGUUUUCUCCGGGGUGCUCCAGGGAAUCUGUCCGUCUAAGCCCAGCCUCACGCCUGCUGUCCGCUGUAAGCCGCCCUCCCAGGUCUUCGGUCCUCUGCUUCUGGGGCACACAACAGUUUCCUUCUUCGACCUUUUCUGUGUCUACUUCCUAGCCUCUUCCUCUGACCCAGCCUCCAUGAACGACUGCCCCUUGGCCACACCAGCCUGCCUUGGAGCCAGCUGAAUAACUCACUUUCCCAGAAACAAGCUCCAAGCAGCCGUUGCAUCCACUGGUUGUCCCCUUGUGGCCACUGAUUCUUGGACCGUGAUCCUUGUUGCUCAGCCUUCUGCCCUGUGACAAAUUCCUGAAAGAAGCACUUUUGACUCCGGGUUAUGGAAGUUGCAGCCCGUGGCUGGCUGUCCCCUUGCUUUUGGUCUGUGUUGAGCUGGCAGCAGUGUGUGUGUGGUGGGGCACAUGACAGGCACCCCAUUUGCCUCAUGGCUGGGAAGUGAAAGAGAAAGGAAGAGCCCAAGACCCCACAGCCUCCUAAAAGGCUGGGCCCAUGUGUUCAGAGGACGUGCGCUGCACACCACCUCCCUGCGGGCCAGGCUGGGAACAAAGCCUGAUGCUUGAGCCACCAGGGAGCCCUCCGGAUCCAAGCAGUACCCCACAGUCUCCUGCUGAAGUGUGACCUGGAUCCAAACGUGGGCAGCAGACAGAGCUGAGUGACGAAGCCUUUCUUAUGUGCCUGGAGAGAUGUAGGAAAGUUGACUGAAGGAAGAUUUGGUUUAGAACUUCCAGUGCAAGAACUUCAAACUGAAAGAGUUAACUCUGAAAUCACCAGGAAGAAGCCGAAGAAUUUAAAGUCCUUCAUUUUCUUAGUUACUGACUUAUUCAGAAAAGAUUACACCUGUAGGACCAUAGUUAAAUGUACAAAGAAAGAGAAGAUACAUGUAUGUCUCAGGAAUAUAUAUAUAUAUUUUUUUUUUCAUAAAAAGAAUAAAAGCAAGCCUGUGGUACCAAAAGCCAGUGUCUAAGACAACUCCUAAAAUGCUAUUUUUGAUAAACACAGAAGAUUGAUUAGCCUGCACUGUCCUGGGAAAAGACUACAAUUAACAUUCCUUCCUUCCUACCUGGCGUGCAUUAUUCUGGAUAAAUUUAAUGUCUACCCUUAAGCAAUAUUCUCUUUCCUAACAGUUUAUUACUUUCUUUUUAGACUCUUGUUUUGCAUUACUUUAAUGUCAAACAUGAUUAGCUACUUUUCUAAUUUGUAUAUAACACAAAUUCCUAACGAACUCCGUAGUUCAGCGAGGACUGAUUUGAACUUUUAGUUUACAUAGUGAGCGUGUUUUAGGAAUGAUGCUGAUGAUAGGAACAAAGACCAGAGUCCAAAUGAAAUGUGGGAUGAAUGAAAAGCCUGCCGUGGGCUCCAUGACAUUAAAAAUGCCGUUUCUCCUAA